rnacentral:rRNA from 2 species
UGACCUCAAAUCAGGUAGGACUACCCGCUGAACUUAAGCAUAUCAAUAAGCGGAGGAAAAGAAACUAACAAGGAUUCCCCUAGUAACUGCGAGUGAAGCGGGAAAAGCUCAAAUUUAAAAUCUGGCAGUCUUUGGCUGUCCGAGUUGUAAUCUAGAGAAGUGUUAUCCGCGCUGGACCGUGUACAAGUCUCCUGGAAUGGAGCGUCAUAGAGGGUGAGAAUCCCGUCUUUGACACGGACUGCCAGGGCUUUGUGAUGCGCUCUCAAAGAGUCGAGUUGUUUGGGAAUGCAGCUCAAAAUGGGUGGUAAAUUCCAUCUAAAGCUAAAUAUUGGCGAGAGACCGAUAGCGAACAAGUACCGUGAGGGAAAGAUGAAAAGAACUUUGGAAAGAGAGUUAAACAGUACGUGAAAUUGCUGAAAGGGAAACGCUUGAAGUCAGUCGCGUUGGUCAGGGAUCAACCUUGCUUUUGCUGGGUGUACUUCCUGGUUGACGGGUCAGCAUCAAUUUUGAUCAUUGGAAAAAGAUCAGGGGAAUGUGGCAUCCUUGGAUGUGUUAUAGCCCUUGGUUGUAUACAAUGGUUGGGAUUGAGGAGCUCAGCACGCCGCAAGGCCGGGUUUUUACCACGUACGUGCUUAGGA